rnacentral:rRNA from 1 species
AACGAACGCUGGCGGCAGGCUUAACGCAUGCAAGUCGAACGAGCUGGGGGCUCUUGUCUCCGAUGCUAGUGGCGCACGGGUGAGUAACACGUGGGAAUAUGCUCUCUAGUACGGAAUAAUCAAGGGAAACUUUGGCUAAUACCGCAUACGCCCUUCGGGGGCAAGAUGUAUCGCUAAAGGAUUAGGCCGCGUCUGGUUAGGUAGUUGGUGGGGUUAUGGCUCACCAAGCCGACGAGCAGUAGCUGGUCUGAGAGGAUGAUCAGCCAGACUGGGACUGAGACACGGCCCAGACUCCGACGGGAGGCUGCAGUGGAGAAUAUUGGACAAUGGAGGCAACCCUGAUCAAGCCGCGCGGCGGAAGAGAAGAAGGCCUUCGGGUUGUAAAGCUCUUUCGACGGAGGCGAUAGUGACGGUACCCGUAUAAGAAGCCCCGGCUAACUACGUG